CCUCACCUGCAGACACCUGCUCAGUCUCUACACGGUUUGAACUCAGCUGCACCUUCAGGAAACAAUUGUAUCUCCGGUUAAAAAUCCUUUUGUCCCCACCACUUUUCAACACAAAGAGACGGCCUUGUCUCUGAGAGCAGCUCCUCCUCCUCCUUAUUAUUAGCAGCAGCUGCAGCAGAUCACCUCCAGCAGGAUCAGCAGCAACGACAGCAACUGUUGCCUGUUCUGGGUUGCUGUUUGACAAACUCUCCACCAGAUCAUUCCUCCUCAUCCUCUUUAAAACCCUCUUGGCCACCUCCACGCACUGAUUGCUGUAAGUCUGCACCAUCAGAUCCACCGUGUCCGGCCUGUCUGCGCUCUCCAGUUGGCUCUUUGGGAUCGGUGGGAGGUCCUUGAGGAAGUCCGGCUGCUGCAGCUCUCGGUGUGCAGCCGUCUCUGUGAGCGUCUCCCUCUUAUUUCCUCGUAGCAGCAGCACUACAGCAGUCACAGAUCACCUCCAGUAGUAUCAGCAGCAACC